rnacentral:tRNA from 2 species
GCCGGGAUGGCGGAAUUGGCAGACGCAGGAGACUUAAAAUCUCCCGGGGUAACCCGUACCGGUUCGAGUCCGGUUCCCGGCA